rnacentral:rRNA from 1 species
AGGAUGAACGCUGGCGGCGUGCCUAACACAUGCAAGUCGAACGUCCUGUCUCGCAAGAGGCAGGGAGUGGCGGACGGGUGAGUACCACGUGGGUCAUCUACCGUGAGGUGAGGAAUACCGGCGAGAAAUCGCCGACAAGACCGCAUAGGCUCGAUGCAAGUCGAGCAAAGCUCUUUCGAGAGAGGGAGCGCCACACGAGGAGCCUGCGCCCGAUUAGCUAGCUGGUGGAGUAACGGUUCACCAGGGCGACGAUCGGUAGCUGGUCUGAGAGGACGAUCAGCCACACUGGGAUUGAGAACGGCCCAGACUCCUACGGGGGGCAGCAGUGAGGAAUUUUCGCAAUGGGGGCAACCCUGAACGAGCAACGCCGCGUGCAGGAAGAAGGUUUUCGGAUCGUAAACUGUCUUUUCGUCGGGGAAGAGAACGGACGGUACCCGAGGAAUCAGCCCGGCUAACUACGUGCCAGCAGCCGCGGU